CUGAAACCGAAACUAAAAACAAAAAUAUAAAGAUAGAGACUAAACGAAAUCAUCAUCGAGGGAGAUAAAUUUUUGUGCAUGACCAAUUUCGAGAACCGUAAAAAAAAUUUACGACAAACGUUGAUCAUAUAUCUUUGUAGAUUGUUGCAAAAUAAAAAUGGUAAUAAUAAUAGAAUCGGAAUGAGGAUCAUUUCCGAAAACAACGGGCUCAGCAUUGUUGAUGUCUCAGCAAUAUUGCCUCGUUUCCAGUGUGGAAUUCCCCUCCGCCAGAUAUAGACAUUGUUCAAAUGCUUGUCGAGCAACGUUGGAUUUAAGAGGUCUUUUAUUAAUUUAAAAAGUUAUUUUUACGGUCGUCUUAACUAUAGUACACCUGAGGUAGUGAAUGAAAUGUGAUGCUUUAAAAUAUCAAGAAAUUUCUGCUCAAUUAUUACCUAUGUUGAGUUUUCGACUUGAAUGAAAAAAAAAAAGAAGGAGAGGCAAGAAAGAGACAAGAAAUUAUAUAUGAACAAACAUAUGUUCUAUAAACUACCUUCCACAUUCGUAACAGCUGUCUCAAGUAGAUAUGUUUACCAACAUGUUCUGUUCAUAGUGAAAUAGUUUUGUUUCCAAAAUAUUUAUUGGUCACAGAAAGAAGCAACUUAUUAUUGAGACACUUCAUAAUUGGCUGCUAGCAACAAGCGAUAUCAAACCCUGGGCACUCACCAAUUUAAAUGACA
rnacentral:lncRNA from 1 species